UACGAAGGGGGCUAGCGUUGCUCGGAAUCACUGGGCGUAAAGGGUGCGUGGGCGGGUUUUUAAGUCAGGGGUGAAAUCCUGGAGCUCAACUCCAGAACUGCCUUUGAUACUGAAGAUCUUGAGUCCGGGAGAGGUGAGUGGAACUGCGAGUGUAGAGGUGAAAUUCGUAGAUAUUCGCAAGAACACCAGUGGCGAAGGCGGCUCACUGGCCCGGUACUGACGCUGAGGCACGAAAGCGUGGGGAGCAAACAGG
rnacentral:rRNA from 1 species